AGCAGCCGCGGUAAUUCCAGCUCCAAUAGCGUAUAUUAAAGUUGUUGCAGUUAAAAAGCUCGUAGUUGAAUUUCGGGAUCAGUAUGUUGGUCGUGCUUCGGUACGUACUGUCAUUACUGGUUUCUACCUUCUGAAGAACCUUGAUGUCAUUAAUUUGGUGUCUUGGGGAAUCAGGACUGUUACUUUGAAAAAUUAGAGUGUUUAAAGCAAGCAUACGCUUGAAUACAUUAGCAUGGAAUAAUGAAAUAGGACGUUUGAUUCCAUUUUGUUGGUUUCUAGGAUCGACGUAAUGAUUAAUAGGGAUAGUUGGGGGCAUUAGUAUUCAAUUGUCAGAGGUGAAAUUCUUGGAUUUAUUGAAGACUAACUACUGCGAAAGCAUUUGCCAAGGAUGUUUUCAUUAAUCAAGAACGAAAGUUAGGGGAUCGAAGACGAUCAGAUACCGUCGUAGUCUUAACCAUAAACUAUGCCGACUAGGGAUCGGAUGAUGUUAUUUUUAAUGACUCAUUCGGCGU
rnacentral:rRNA from 1 species